rnacentral:rRNA from 1 species
AGCGAACGCUGGCGGCAGGCCUAACACAUGCAAGUCGAACGAAGUCUUCGGACUUAGUGGCGGACGGGUGAGUAACACGUGGGAACGUGCCUUUAGGUUCGGAAUAACUCAGGGAAACUUGUGCUAAUACCGAAUGUGACCAUCGGGGGAAAGAUUUAUCGCCUUUAGAGCGGCCCGCGUCUGAUUAGCUAGUUGGUGGGGUAAUGGCCCACCAAGGCUACGAUCAGGAGCUGGUCUGGGAGGAUGACCAGCCACAUUGGGACUGAGACACGGCCCAAACUCCUACGGGAGGCAGCAGUGGGGAAUCUUGCGCAAUGGGCGAAAGCCUGACGCAGCCAUGCCGCGUGGAUGAUGAAGGUCUUAGGAUUGUAAAAUCCUUUCACCGGUGAAGAUAAUGACUGUAGCCGGAGAAGAAGCCCCGGCUAACUUCGUGCCAGCAGCCGCCGUAAUAC